rnacentral:rRNA from 1 species
AGCGAACGCUGGCGGCAGGCUUAACACAUGCAAGUCGAGCGGGCCUUUCGGGGUCAGCGCCGGACGGGUGAGUAACGCGUGGGAACGUGCCCUCUGGUUCGGAAUAACUCAGGGAAACUUGAGCUAAUACCGGAAACGCCCUUUUGGGGAAAGGCUUUCUGCCGGAGGAUCGGCCCGCGUCUGAUUAGCUGGUUGGUGAGGUAACGCCUCACCAAGGCGACGAUCAGUAGCUGGUCUGAGAGGAUGAUCAGCCACACUGGGACUGAGACACGGCCCAGACUCCUACGGGAGGCAGCAGUGGGGAAUAUUGGACAAUGGGCGCAAGCCUGAUCCAGCCAUGCCGCGUGAGUGAUGAAGGCCUUAGGGUUGUAAAGCUCUUUUAUCCGGGACGAUAAUGACGGUACCGGAGGAAUAAGCCCCGGCUAACUUCGUG